AGCGACAAGUUUAUACUAGUUUAUGCUUUUGAUAUUAGUAUUUUAAGAUACAUCAGUUGAUCCCGAAACCUGACCAUUAGAAUUACUCUGAGGAGCUUUUAAAAUAGAUUCCUGGAGCCUACCCCUGGAAAAUUGUCUCGCUGGAUCUCGAGAGGGGCCUGAGAGUUCUGGCUUUUUUUUUUUGUUUGGUUGGUUUUGUUUUGUUUUGUUUUGUUUUUUCUUUAAAGCUCUCCUGGUGAUUCUAAUAGCCAGUAUUGGGUAAUCAAUGUUUUAGCUAAAUGUGACACUGGUUUGAGAGUAGGCAAC
rnacentral:lncRNA from 1 species